GACGAACGCUGGCGGCGUGCUUAGCACAUGCAAGUCGAACGGAAAGGCCCUGCUUUUGUGGGGUGCUCGAGUGGCGAACGGGUGAGUAACACGUGAGUAACCUGCCCUUGACUUUGGGAUAACUUCAGGAAACUGGGGCUAAUACCGGAUAGGAGCUCCUGCUGCAUGGUGGGGGUUGGAAAGUUUCGGCGGUUGGGGAUGGACUCGCGGCUUAUCAGCUUGUUGGUGGGGUAGUGGCUUACCAAGGCUUUGACGGGUAGCCGGCCUGAGAGGGUGACCGGCCACAUUGGGACUGAGAUACGGCCCAGACGCGUACGGGAGGCAGCAGUGGGGAAUAUUGCACAAUGGGCGGAAGCCUGAUGCAGCAACGCCGCGUGCGGGAUGACGGCCUUCGGGUUGUAAACCGCUUUCGCCUGUGACGAAGCGUGAGUGACGGUAAUGGGUAAAGAAGCACCGGCUAACUACGUG
rnacentral:rRNA from 1 species